rnacentral:lncRNA from 1 species
AUUGAGGUUUAAGUAGGUUAAGGUCUCAGAAAGUAGAAUUUUAGGUCUAGUGGGGUUUUUAAGAUUUCUUGCAAUCUACUAGUUGGAUUGAAGUGAAACUUAUGUGUGAGGAUAUUAGACUUUUUUUCCUAUGUAUAUGAGAAUUUUAAAAUCAAUUGAAUGGUGAAAAGGAGAGAUAUUGGCUUUGGAAGAUUGGUAUUAAGGUUAGAAAAGGAGGCCGACCAAUAUCCAAGCGCAUUUUUGAGGUUAUCUUCUAUUUGGUAAUUUCGAUCCUUUUUAAAUUUUUUUGUACUUGUUGUCAACUUAAUUUUUAAAAAGCAUGAAAAUUUUGAGUUAAGAUCAAUGGUUCAUUCAUUAAUAAUUGAGAUUUAAAUCUGUUGUAGGAAUUACUAGGGUUUGAUUUAAGAAUUAGGAUUUGGUUUAGGAUUUGGUUAGGAUUUGAUUUAGGGUUUAGGAUUUGGUUAGGAUUUUAUUAAGGAUUUAGGAUUUGAUUAAUAUUUUAUUUAGGAUUUGAUUAGGAUUUGAUUUAGGAUUUAGGAUUUAGGAUUUUAUUAGGAUUUAUUUAGGGUUUAAGAUUUAGUUAGUUUUUGGCCUAAAAUUUGAAUGAAGUCCAAUAGGAUUUUAACUAGGAUUAAAUUAAGAUUUAAUUGAGAUGUAUUUGAGAUAUAUUUGUAAUCAUUCUAAUAUUUCUUUAAGAUUUUUUAUUAUUUCUUUGUAAUUUCUUUGAGGUUUCUUUAAAUUUGAUUAAAGCUUGUUUAGCAUUGUUAUAGUCUAAUUAGAGUCUAGUUAGUAUUCUAUUAGAGCUAAGAUUUUGUUGUUGCAAUUUCUAUUCU